GCGCGGGCGCGGAGCAGUGCGCGGCGGCGCGGAGCGGAGGGGUUCGGGGGGUCCCGGGGCGCGGAGCGGAGCGGAGCGGUGCGGAGCCCCCAAAGCGCGGCACGGGGCGAGAGCUGCGAGAAGCGCCGCCGCCUUUUCUUUUUCCGUAACAAGAGAUGGUUUUUUUAUUGUUGUUUUCUCGCUUUUCGGGGGCCGCUUUCGCAUUGAGCGAGUCGCCCUCCCCCCUAAGACCGAAGCCAGCAUCCUGCUGCAUGGCACCGGAUUUUACAUUUCUCAUUCUUUUUCCUUAUUUUUUCCCUUAUUUUUCCCUCCAUCGCUUCUUUUCUAUUCGCUCAUUUGCGGUCACCCAUCCAUCUGCUCGUGGGAUUUGCUUUGGGAGAACGGAGCUUUUUCCAUCCCGACUCCCCCGUGCGCUCCCGACCCCUUUUUUCUCCCCUUUCAAAACCAUUUUUCUGAUCUUUUAUAUAUCUUUAUAUAUUCCUUUUUUUUCCUUUUUUUUCCUUUUUUUUUCUUUUUUCUUUUUUCUUUUUUUCUUUUUUUUGGCUUUGCUCUCAGUACCGGAAUCCUUCAGGAGAAAGAAAAAGGAGGAAAAAAAAAAAAAAGAAAAAAAAAGAAAAAAAAAAAGACGGUGACAAUUUUUUUUUUUCUUUUUUUAAUGCAUUUUUUUUCCCUUCCCAGGACUCUCUCGCGUUCUUUGUAGCCGUUGUGGUUAUUAUUGCAAAAAGCGGCCCCGUAAGUGUGCACCCGGCGGGGCUCCGCCGGCACGGGGACACGGAGCGGUGCUGCGGUGGGGGGCCGUGGGGGGGCCGUGCAGUUUGCGCUGCUCUUUGCAGCCGGGUUCGUGGGGGGAGGGAUGGGGCCGGCGGCCAAGCGUUGCUCGGGUAUGGAAAUGUAUGGCCCUGGCUGAAAAUACGGCGCACUGAUUGAUGCCCCGUCCCUGAGCCGUGUGCGUUUAUUUAUUCGCACCGGGCCUGCGGCGGGGCUGCGCUGCGAGGCCGCCGGUUGCUCUUCCCCGACGGUUUUCCUGCUGGGGACCCGGGGCCGUGGCAAUGGACAGAAAGAAAUGUGUCGACGAGCGCAACCGGCGCGGCUCCCGCUGCGGCUCGCUCCGCUCCGCGGGCGCUCGGAGCCAUCAGCGCGGGGCUCUGGACGGGUCUCGGAGCCGAAAUGCUCGGGGCUGCGAAGGAGGGGGACGGAGAGCUAUCCCUUAGCCCGGCGGGGGGAUGGCACGGUGCUACCGAUCGCCCCGAGGCCGGCUUUCCCGGAGCCGGAGCUGCCCCCGGUGCCACGGACCCAUCCCGUCGGCUGCCCUCAGUGCUUUCCUUCAUUCCAUUUUUUUUCUCCCCCUAUUUUCUUUGUUUUUAAUUUGUAUUCAAUUUGUUUUACAGCAAGGAAAUUAAAAAAGCGGAGGGGGUUGAGAAACAAAACAGAACAAAACAAGCCCUUUGCUGUUUGUCGUUCUCCUGCAGCGCGACGCUUUCGCUUUGCCGGGCCGGGGCUGCGCCGGUCCGUUCCGGGGCCGCUCCGGGGUGGGCUCAGUGCGCGCCCGGUCCCGGAAUGUCCCCUGCGUGGGGUCAGCCAGCAGCAGCCCCGCUGGGCCCAGAGCUCGGCCUGGCUUCAUUCGUGGGUUGCUUUCUUUAUUUUUGGCGUUUCUCCUCCAAUUUAAUGCCUUCUCGUCCUCCACCCGUGGGGAGGACGAGGACACCUCCUGCCGUGCUGCGUCCCGGUGCCUCUCCAGAGCCACAAAAGCAGCAGCGGUGGCUUUGGGGUGUGAGGAGACGUGCAUCUCCUUGGGACCCCCCCCCUCCCUGCUCCUGUCGGUGCUGAGCAGGCGAGGCCUCGUCGCCUUUGGCCCUCUGCUGUGCCUGCUUGGCUUAAAGGGAUGAUCACUUUGCACUUGGUGGCAGCCUCAUGAAUGGGAGGUGACAUUGAGGGGGCAGUGGUUGGUGGGGUACUCCCUGCCCUAAUCCUGCACCAGGGGUUGUGGCCCCGAUGAUGCAGGGAUGGGGCCGUCAUGGGGGCUGCGCUCGGUCCCCGUGGUGCUGCAGGUGCCUCUGCCGCAGGGGAUGGGGCUAUGGGACACCUCCUGCCCCAGCUCUGCGUUGGGGACUUCAGAGCUGGAGGUGGGUGAGGGGCUGUGGGGCCUUCACCCCAUAGCGAUGGAUUUGGAGCAUCCCAGAGGCCUCUUCCCAGGUGAGCUGCACUCCUGGAAGAAGUGCCUCAUCCUUCGCUAAAUAAACGGAGCCCCCGUAGGAUUUUUUGUUCCGAAAUUAACUCCUUAAUUAACUCCUUCAGGCCGCAAGCCUUCCUCGGCCAUGUACAGAAAGAACAAAACAAGUCCAGGAGAGGGACACAGCCUCAGAGCCACCACCAGUCCCAGCCUGGGGAUGGCUGCACGCACGGGGCCGUGUGUGCGCAUUCCCUGCCUCCAUGGGGCUAUCUUGUUUGCUAAUCUAACCUACUUUUGUUUUUAAUUCUUUUCUUUCUUUCUUUCUUUUUUUUUUUUUUGGUCAGAGGUCGGUGCUGUGCAGGGACCUGUUCUGCUCUCGGUGCAAUCUCAGAGCUUUUAGUGGGUGUCUGAUUUCUGUAGCGCGCUUCGGUUUCCAGUAUGAAUGUCACGCACGAAGAAUACCAUGACAGUGCUCGAGGUGCACGCGAUCUUAUCUACCUGACAUUUCAGGCUUUUUUAACCGUCCGUUCACCCAAUUUGCAUAGCAAUCACAUGGGCUGCUUCUCCCCUUUACCCCUCCCACCCCCCCCUUUUUUUUUCAUGUAUCAUCAUAACAAACUGCUUGCGUUUGGCCUCUGACAGCAUCAGUGCAAGCGUUGCUCAGAGCUCCCUCUCCCCUCUGAUGGUGUCUGGGGGGGUUCAGUGCUGCGCAGGGACAGCACUCCCAUCCCACUGACUGCUGGGGCACUGUGCUGAGUUUCACUUCCAAGCAAAGCACACCACCGUGCGUGCAUCCCAUCUGCUUCUCCUUAAUUGCCACGGGUGAGACUUAUUUAUACUGAUAAAGAGACUCCCACAGCACAGUCCCAGCUCCCUGCAGCCCCUCUGCCCGCACUCAGGACAACGCAGGGCUGCAAUUAACACAAGCCCUGCUCAGCUCUCGGCCAUGUGCCGGCUGCAGCCCUUGCACGGAACAAAAUGUUUCCCUUGGUGUCGGGGGAGGCAUUGGCUCUAGCAGGGGAGCGUGUGAAUGGCAGGGAGUGGGGCAUCGUGGGGUGCAUUGUGGCUCUUUUUUUUGUUGUUUUCUUCUUUUUUUUUUUUAUUGUUGUGUUUUGAUUUAAUUGGAGCAUUUGCGAUCUGGCUUGGUUCUACUGCAAGCAAAGGGCUGGAAGUGGAAAAGCUGGAAUGUGGCUGUUCCAGCACACCCCAGGCACACCUGAGCUGUAUCUCCUGCCCAACCCCGUGCUCCUGCCACCACCCCUACUGCCCCCAGCCUCAUUUCAUUGACCCCAUCACACACCAUGCAGAACGCUCAGUGCUCAGUGCUGGGCCUGCAGCAGGAAGGAGGGCACUAUGGAGGGACAGUGGGAUGGAGGGAUGGGCAGCAGUGGGGGUGUCCCGCGGUGCCCCCUGGCUAUGUGCGAUAGCAUCACUGCCUGAGAGCUGCUGCUGAUGUGCCGCGUGCUCCGACUGGAGCAAUAAGCAUUACUCGGAUGGAUUUCCUGCAAAAAGCCCUUCCUGAUCUUCCUGGUCCCACUGUACUCGGAUUAAGACCCAGGAUAUAUCCCUGUGCAGUUGCCCAAAUUAUUGGUCUAUCUCUCCGUGCCCUGAGACAGUGCAAACUUGCUGUCAGAAAUGACCUACGUCGCUCGCUGCCUGCCCCAUCUUGCUGGCACUGGGGACGAGGCCCUGCAAGCAUCUCUCCCACAGGGAGAGAGGGGGUAUGCAGCGCAGCACAGCACCCACGGCUCUGCCCCACUGUGAUUUCAGUGGGGUUGGAUGGAAGCAGCCCCGAUCUCACCAGGCUCCCAGCCAGGGGAUCCCCAUCCGUUUUUAACCAGCUACAGACCGGAGUCUGACAUCACCUCGAUGGGGCUGUGCGGGUCCAGAGCCUUUGUGCGCCCAGUGGUGGCACCCCCACGUUCCCAUCCCACCCUAUGUCCCCACCAUACUCAUUCACCCAAUUUACCCCACCUUUUGCCAUUGUGGAACCUUUGGAAAUCUUCAGUGCUGGGACGCCGACUGCUCCUGGUGCUGCAGAUCCAACAGCUAUCAGCUGUUGAGGUUCGAACCCUUCCCUAACCCCACAGAUACCUCCUCAUUUGCUCAGGGUUACCUAAUACAAAAAAGGUUGAUCUGAGGAAAAAAAAAAAAAAAAAAGAGAGAGAAUAAAGGCUGUGGUUGGUUAACAGCAUUAUUUCUUUCUCGUUCAAGAAACUCUCGGAUCCCCAGUAUCAAAAAGCAGAAGACUUGGGAAAAAGGGUGCCCUGAAGUUGUGCAGGGAGUGUGAGUGGGAACCGAAGAGGGGAAUUGGGGUUGAUUGUCUGCCUGCAGGCUGCCGUGUGCAGGCCGGGCUCAGGGCUGUUGCAGCUCCUCGCACCUCUCAGCCCAUCGGGUGCUGCGGGAAUCCCAAUUUCUCUCUCCCAAUAAAGCACGGGCGUCACUUUUAUACCCUGCACGUUUUCCUGCGGUGAGGUGCUUUGAUUUAAACACCGAGGAUAUGGGGGCCGGGUGGGAGAGCCUCCAGAAGUGAUGGUGAAAGCGGCCGUUAUUCGUCCUGCUGCCUCCCGAAAUCUCUAUUCCUCCUCACCAUCCCUCCAAGCCCGGCUGGCAAUAGCACGCUGCCUCUGACAGGAGCUCAAUUCAAUGCACUGCCAACAAAAUAUGGUAUCUUUUUUUUCUUCAUCCCAGUAGUGAGAGCGUUAAAUAAUAGAUCUCGGGCUUUAUAGGCUGCAUUUAGGUAUGACUACGAAUAGCUACAAUAAAAAGCAGCAGAAUAUUCAUGUGAAGGGGGGGGGGUCGGUCUGAUAAUUUUUUUCUCCUCGUCCUUUCUUAUUUUUUUCUUUUCUUUUUUUUUUUUUUCCCUAUUUAAGUUUCAGUUUUAGGGCUGAAGAAGAAUCAGAUUUUCUCAUUCCUUUUCUGUUGCCGUCGGACGCCGAGAAUAAUCUCGGCUAUUUUCUGAGACCGACAUUCCUAUGGGACUUCUCCUUGUUUUCAAUAAUUAAAUAUUAAAGGAGUGGGAAGCAGGCAGAUUGUGCGAUACGGACACCAACUGAUCAGGGUAUUUAUUUGCAUAGGUACGUGGCACACGGGGCAGGAUCCAUCUCCGAGCCCUAUGAAAUUGCUGUUACCCCAUCAGAGUGUCACACACAGAUUAUUGCCCAUCGGAACGUGGCUCUUCAAGUCCUAAAAAUAAUUUAACUCCGGGACUGUUUUUAUUCACUCCAGUCAAUGACAGAUGCACUGGAAUUCCUACAAAGCAGAAAUGGGAGCUGGAAGCCGAACCCAACUGCUUUUUUACCCCCUCUCUAUUUCUUUUUAAUGAGUAUUUCCCCCUUCCUUCCCCCAUUCUUCUUUCUGCCAGGUGUCCCAUUGACCCCUCCGAAUUUUGCAGCUCCCCUCUCCUCCUUUCCCCUCCAACCACUUCUCAUCACAAAACGCCGUACUUUUCCCUGAGAUUUGCCCUCCUCUCUCCCUUAGGACAAAUUCCCAUCUCAACAAAUCACCACCGGGUACGGCUGUGUUCAAUCCUAUGCUCAUGGGGUGAUAAAUGGCACCGUGGCAGUGUUAUAUGUGGGCGAGCAACCAGGUUUCCCUUCCAGCCCACCCUGUUUGGGGCAGGGGGACGUGCUGCUGCCCUGCCUUGUGCCUCCACGUCCCUGAGGGUCACCCAAAUGCCUAAAGGGUGAGCAGGGCCCACGGCAACCCUAUGGCUUCCCCAGAUCCCGCUCAUUUAUAUAUGUAUAGAUAUAUACAUAUUAUUUUUUUAAUUCUUAUUUUCGUAAUAGUUUGGUUUUAUUAUGACAACAUGUUUAAUAAGCAGCCCCGGGCUGGAGGGAGGAAUGCGGAGCUCCUUGCCGAGAUGUGAAUACCCUGCACUCGUGCUGCCUUGCCCCGUGCUUGCUGGAGCCCUGGUGAGCCCCAUGCAAAGCGCUCAGUGGUGCCAAGGGAGGGGGCCGUGCAUGCACUGUGAGCCCCCCAACCCCCACCCAGCCCCACAGAGGAACCCACAGCAAGCUGGGUUUGUUUGUCCUGGCUUUGGGCAGAGCUGCACGGUGGCAAAGCAGGAGAUACCCCAACCUGGAGCGACGUGAUAGCUUUUCUUCUUCUUUUCUUUUUCUUUUUUUAUUAUUAUUUUUUUUUGCAUUAUCCUGACUUCAUUUUUAAGCCUUUCUGUGAUUUCUGUUUCUCUCUAUUUGCACCCCCCUCACCACGAGGAUGCUCGGCAGCAAGGUUAAUUCCCUCCUGCUAUUUCCUUACCUAACCCUGUGGGCUCAGAUCCUCAAAAGUAUUUGUGUGCCUUCCUCCCUUGGAAAUCGGGGAGUUUAAUUGUCUGCUAAAAUUAUGGUGUUUUGUUUUGAAAGCAGAGCAGGAAAUAACCAACUUGGGGUUUUAUGAGCUUCGUUUGCCUCUCUGUGGUCACAGAGCACUUUUAUGAACCUUUCACAAAUAAAUUCAGGGGUAAAUAGCCCAGUGAGCAGAAUACAGAUGGGUUUGUAGAGUAUGACCAGAGAGAAAUGGGUGUUGAAGGAGGUGAGGGGAGAUGGGCUUGGCCUCCUCCGGUCCCCAUUGGCAAAAUACGGGUGAAACAACUGCACGGCACCAAAAAGAUGCUGGAAGGAAUAACCCAUUAAGGGCUGCGAGAUGCUGAGAUAGGAGAACGGUAGAGAUCGCAGCAGUGAGAUGCCAUCUAUUACAGACAACCAUCGUACAGCUGACUGCAUCUCCCUCUCUGGAAAUGGCUCCGUUCUUAGUUUCAUUUUUGGCCAUGCGACCCGAUAGGAGUCCUCUCCCUCCUCAGCGUUUGUCCCCUUCUGAUAUUUCAUGCAACACGGAGAAAGGAGGAAGCAGAAUGCCGUGACAUUGAGGUUUAUUGCUGAUUCUGCUCACGUCGGUUGAAAUCAGUCACUAAACCUCAGCCGGCAGAACCCCGUGCGCUGUGUUUUUCUUGCCUAGGUAAUCGCGAUGGCAGCAGGGGGAGGCACUUUUCAUCUCCGAGUGUUCGCGAGUGAAGCCAAACCAUGCAGCUCUGCUCUCGGGGCUGCAAUUACCAACACUGUGCACACGGAAAGCGAAGCUAGAGCAGCACCAGCCAUAGCCGGUCGCUUGGGGAACACGUCCUGCGAGACAAGUGCAUGUCCCUGUGAUGUAGCGAGCUGGGGAGGUGCUCCCCUCCAAGGGCACAAAGCAUGGAUGAAGCUGCCUGUGCUACAGCUCCUUGACCUUGGUGUUAGAACCAAUGGUUUCGUGCUGUUCACCUUCCGAGCCCUCCUGGUGCCUGGGCACUAAGAGCCCAUGGAAUGAGGAUGGCUCCUCAGUGGUGAAGAACAGGAGGACCAGGUGGGCCAAUGGCUUGGUCAACACAGCUCUGGGCCGACAUAUCCUUUUGGAAGCUGCCAACUUGCCAGCAUGGCUUCUGGUUUCUGACUGCCCACUGCAGGACUUCUUUGCACACAUGGUUGUUGCGCUUCUUCCAUGUGUGCAUUGAACCUCCUGCCCCCCGCCAGCUUAGGCCAACUCUCUGCCAGAACAUAGAAUGAUGGAAUCAUUCAGGUUGGAAAGACUGAUAAGAUCAUCUAGUCCGACCAUCAGCUCGUGUGUGUGACUGCUGUACACCAUGCCACUCAGUGCCACACCUCCAUGGUUCUUGAACAUCUCCAGGGAUGGUGACCCCCCACCUCCCUGGGCAGCUGUGCCACUGCAUCACCACUCUGAGAAGAAAUUUUUCCUACAGCACUGAAUGCUGUGAUUCAUAAGGGCUCUCCCAUUCUGCUUCUCCCCCUAGGAGGCUCGUGCUGUAUUAUCCAGCAUCUAAAGCUAAGUGGAGUGAAAGCCCAAAAUCUAAUUUUGAAAAUAAUAAUAAAAGAAGAUUUAAUCAUGUGUCAUCUGUGCUCUAUGCCACUCCGGUGAAUCAUAACCCUUCGUUACCAGCGAGUUUCAUGGUUUAGGAUCCCAGUGCCAGCACAGAAACCCUGAGCCCAGCAGAUCACCGCAGCUUUGACCUGCUGCAAGGAUUUGGUCACCUCCGUGUGUCUCAGCUCCCAGCUGACCCGGUGCUUCGCUCUUUUAUUGUCUGUGCACAAUCUCUCCCACCGUGCCAAGAGUUCUGUAUUCUUCAUUUCUCUUCCGUCUCUGAUGCCACAAAGUCAAGUGAAUGUCUUCAAGGAAAUCUCAGUAAUAAAACCUAUUUCCUCCUCCCUGCUGCAAAGAGAAAGCGGAGUAAUAGUUUCUUUAUCCAUUGGGGACCGGUUAAUGCCUCGCUCCUCAUCAUCACCAAAUGCAACUAAUAAAGGAGUAAAGGAGAUUUGGCAGUUUAAUGCAGCAGCUAAUUUUGUGCCUGCUGCUCUGCCAGAAAGUAUUUUCACUUUUGGGUGAUGCCAGAAUAGCAGAGCUGAUUAAUUAGCUUUCUCUUGAGCAGGAAGAGCUCAGUUAAGAUGCCUGCAGCCCCUGGACAACACAGGCAUUGGCCAACCUUGUUAGUAGCAGCGUUCCUGGUAUCUUGAGGGUUCAUUAAUCCUCGGCAGGUGAGCACCUUGAUAGAGGCAUUCUGACCCAUGUUCCUUUCCAGAGGCUUCAAGGCAAUGCCUUAAGAAUUUAUGGGACCAGGAUCUUAGUGAGUACAUCCACAGGCAGAGAAACUCUCUCCAAGCACUCAGCGGGUAAGAUCCAGCACAGCAACUCCCUUGGUCUUGGUUGGGCCUCUAUAGAUGCUGUGACAUAAUGAUAACACUGAGAAUUUCCCUCUCUCCAUUCCCACGUGUAUGGGGCUAACAAGGAGCAUGGAAAGUCAAAGGAACCUUUGGGAAAUGUGAGUCUUCUUUCUGCUGACCCUGCAGCAGAAGGUGGAUAACUGUUUUUUAUGAUCCAGUUAGGAUGGAUGGGUUAAUUACUGUCAUAGAAUCCUUCGAGAUAUUCACUGCAAUCACGUGGUGCUUUUAUAGUGA